GACAGAGGGUGCAAACGUUGUUCGGAAUUACUGGGCGUAAAGCGCGUGUAGGCGGCAACACAAGUCGGAUGUGAAAUCCCGCGGCUUAACCGUGGAAGUGCACCCGAAACUGUGUCGCUAGAGUCCCGGAGAGGAUGGUGGAAUACUUGGUGUAGAGGUGAAAUUCGUAGAUAUCGGGAGGAACACCGGUGGCGAAGGCGGCGACCUGGGUCGAUACUGACGCUGAGGUGCGAAAGCGUGGGGAGCAAACAGG
rnacentral:rRNA from 1 species